UUUAACUCUGCCAUUUAUUAGAUAUAAUUGGACUAUUCCUUUAUAUAUUGAUGGCAGUACUUAAAAUGUGAAUGUUUGUUGCAGGUUUUCCGUCCAAUAAAUAUAAAAAAUACCACGGGUAUCUAGCAGUUGUUUGUGCUCAACUAGAAGAGGUAUAUGUACUCGAUUCGUUGGGACUAAUGUUGUCAGGCUGUACAGAGCUCAAGAUUGUAUAAAAAGGACUGCAUUGGAGCAUGAUAAAAACCUUGACCGAGGCAAGUGGAAAAACCUAGAUGUCUCAACAUGGUGUAUUAUUGAGAAGAUCCAAGAGCCAAUGCAAAAAGAUGGGUAAUUAAUGCGAUGCAACCUAUAAAUGUCAUGAGACUUAUAUUAUGUUUGAUUUUUUUAAUUAUUAAUGUCUAGGAUAUCGUACGGUCUGUGGAUGGUAAACUUUAUGGAAUAUUGGAUGGGAUCUUUCCUCUUUGAUGAAGUAA